CUCCCACACAAGCUCUGAGGCUUAAGUCACUUUCCUCUGGGUGCGGCCCUGAAAACUACAGUGGGAGGUGGUUCUGCCGAUUGUGAAGCAGCACGGGGUGAGCAGCUCACAUGCACACCAGAAUCCAAGACUGACCCAAGCACAUGCACUCCUGUGCGCUGAGACUGGUUCCAUCAGUCAGGAAACCAGAAGCACCUAGUGUCAUUGUUGGAUGAAAACAACGGAAUACUGUUCAUUAGUCUCUGAAGUGCCAAUGGUCAACCAGAAAAUAUUAGGCUGUUUUGGACAGCAGUGAAAAUAGCCCGAGACAGACAGAGUUUAGUGCAUCAGAGUCAACUCCUGAGAAAAAUGGGGACUCUCAGCCCUACGGGUGACUGAGGAAAGAACUCCAUGCCCCACCACACCCCUCCAGUUAGGAAGAUGGAAAAUGAACCUUGUGAUGAAUGCCUUGAGAAGUGUUUCUAAAGUUUGACGGGAUCCAGAUUCACCCAGGAAACAUACCGUUGGCAGGUCUGUGAGGGAGUUUCCAGGUUGGCUUUAGUGAGGAAUCAUCCAUUCCUUAUCUCGCUGAGGACUGGCAGCUGCAAUUCUCUGCUGAAUCCCUAUAGCAGCCUUCAUUGGAGAGAAUCACCUAAGCCAAUGUCUUUUCUGGAUGCAAAGACCUGUCCUGCUUACUUUGGUUCAGGACAACUCUGCAAGACCAUUCCUGAUAAGGACACAGAAUUGGCUGAAUAUGUGUUGAGACUGUGUUGUAGUUGAAGUGUUCCUCCGGUCCGGGUGAUUCCUUCAUCCCCUACACCUCCCAAUAAACUUCUUAUGUGGAAAUCUCCA